AGUCAAUAGAUACCCAGGUAGUCCACGCCGUAAACGAUGUCGACUUGGAGGUUGUGCCCUUGAGGCGUGGCUUCCGGAGCUAAACGCGUUAAGUCGACCGCCUGGGGAGUACGGCCGCAAGGUUAAAACUCAAAUGAAUUGACGGGGGCCCGCACAAGCGGUGGAGCAUGUGGUUUAAUUCGAUGCAACGCGAAGAACCUUACCUACUCUUGACAUCCAGAGAACUUAGCAGAGAUGCUUUGGUGCCUUCGGGAACUCUGAGACAGGUGCUGCAUGGCUGUCGUCAGCUCGUGUUGUGAAAUGUUGGGUUAAGUCCCGCAACGAGCGCAACCCUUAUCCUUUGUUGCCAGCGGUUAGGCCGGGAACUCAAAGGAGACUGCCAGUGAUAAACUGGAGGAAGGUGGGGAUGACGUCAAGUCAUCGUGGCCCUUACGAGUAGGGCUACACACGUGCUACAAUGGCGCAUACAAAGAGAAGCGACCUCGCGAGAGCAAGCGGACCUCAUAAAGUGCGUCGUAGUCCGG
rnacentral:rRNA from 1 species